CCAGACUCCUACGGGAGGCAGCAGUGGGGGAUAUUGCACAAUGGGGGGAACCCUGAUGCAGCGACGCCGCGUGGGUGAAGGAGCGUUUCGGCGCGUAAAGCCCUAUCGGCAGGGAAGAAGAUGACGGUACCUGAGGAGGAAGCCACGGCUAACUACGUGCCAGCAGCCGCGGGAAUACGUAGGUGGCAAGCGUUGUCCGGAAUUACUGGGUGUAAAGGGAGCGUAGGCGGGACAGCAAGUCCAGUGUGAAAUCUAUCGGCUCAACCGAUAGCUGCGCUGGAAACUGUGGUUCUUGAGUGAAGUAGAGGCAGGCGGAAUUCCUAGUGUAGCGGUGAAAUGCGUAGAUAUUAGGAGGAACACCAGUGGCGAAGGCGGCCUGCUGGACUUUUACUGACGCUGAGGCUCGAAAGUGUGGGUAGCAAACAGGAUUAGAUACCCCCGUA
rnacentral:rRNA from 1 species